GCUCAAACUUGAAGGUGGGGGGGACAGGACAGGGGACAGAAUGAAUAAUCACACAACUGGAAUUUCAAAACAAGCACAACUAUUUUCUAUGGAAGAGUUGAAGAAGGCUGCAUUACAGAGGACAGGAUGGUCGUGGAACUUGGCCAAUGAUCACAUGCUGGGUAGGGUCUCCAGCCAACAGGAGAACUGAGGUAUAAACAUUAAGGUGUAGCAGAUACUUACACAGGCUCUUGACACUUGAGUCUGAGGAUCUAUCAACCUGAAAUUGUAAGACUCAUUAUUACACACAUGUUGGUCACACUCAGAAGUUUAUAGGUCAUCGUGAAAUCACACAAUGUCCCAUAUGUGAAAAGCAAGGCCUGCUUCAGGGGAAGAUGACAGUCCUGUGUGAGCCUGUGCUGUGGUUUCUGCCUUUGUUGAACCAGUGUGUGAAAGCCAAGGUACCUGGUGUGGGAGAGUCCACAGCAAAUGGAAUGCAUCAGCAAGAAGUUUAGGAGAUCACCACACCAGGAGUGAGCCUAGAUAUACCAGCUAAAGAAGUGCUACCCUGUAACUCAACCAACCACUCGGAAGACUAAAAACAGGUGAAACUGACUUAAUUCAGUCUCUGCUACCAGUUAGACAUGUAAUGAACUUAAA